GUAUAAUCUAAUCUCUUCAGAAAGUGCUGUGUUGUGUCUGGAAACCUGGCCAAAGCCUACAUACAUCCUGCCUCAGCUUUCCUGAUCUUCGGGUUAAAGCAUCACUGAUUUGUGACUUAUACGGUGCCCUGGCUUCAAGAAGAUCUUUCUCAGUUAUCUUUCUCUUCCAAUGAUAAGAAAUUCUCCUGCAUUAUACAGGAACGACUGCAGAUGCAUUACCACAACUUUGCAGAAAUCUUCCUAAUCUGAAAAACAAACCACAUUUAAUUUAUCAGGUAAGAAUACAAAUCUUUCAAACCAAUGCACCCAAGUAUAUUUCCUGUUUAGACACAAUUGGCCA
rnacentral:lncRNA from 1 species